rnacentral:lncRNA from 1 species
AAACGCAAGCUACGGCUAGAAUAGUGCAAAAGGCUUUAGAAAUGGCUGAAACUUUGUUGCAGAAUAUAAGCUACGUUCUUUGCAUGAAGAUUGCAUGAAAUAAUUUUCUAAAAUUGCAUUUUGACCCCUUGGCUUCUAACUAAUGCUACUUUGACCCAACUAAUUGAAUAAUGUCUUCAACUUGGUCCUUGGUAGUUUUAACUUUUGCAAUUUCAUUGUUUGUUCGAUUCCAAUUAGCCACCUUGCUUUGCUUAAAUUGCACUUAAGUUAUGACUUUAGGGACUUUAUGACUAGGUGAGCCUUGUUUUGCCCAUUUCUUUUAAUUUUUCUUAAAUAAAGUGGUGCCAUGACCUUUUUAUUAUUUUGGAGGGUAAUUGAAUAAUUUCACUUCAUUUGGACUCCAUUCCAAGGGAGGUACACUCUAUCCCUCAUUUGCACUUCAUUUGAUCCUAUGUGACCUUAUGUGUUAUGUGAAUAUGCCUGUCUACUUCGCUUUCCUUACCUCCUUGCGUGCAUUUACUUGCCUUACUUUUAUUUAAGUUUUAUGGGGUAUGUGUACACCUCUUGGCUUGUAAUAGAUAGUGCUCGGAGAGCAUCUGGUCCACUUCCCCUUCCCCUUUAUGCUUUUAUGGGGUAUGUGUACACCUCUUGGCUUGUAAUAGAUAGGGCUCGGAGAGCAUCUGGUCCACUUCCCCUUCCCCU